rnacentral:rRNA from 1 species
UACGAGGGGUGCAAGCGUUGCUCGGAAUUAUUGGGCGUAAAGGGUUGGUAGGUGGUCUUGUUUGUCUAGGGUGAAAUCCCAUGGCUUAACUGUGGAAGUGCCCUAGAAACGGCAAGACUAGAGUCCUAGAGGGGUUUGUGGAAUUCCCGGUGUAGCGGUGAAAUGCGCAGAUAUCAGGAGGAACACCGGUGGCGAAGGCGGGUCUCUGGGCCGAUACUGACGCUGAGGAGCGAAAGCGUGGGGAGCGAACAGG